AAGGAGGAGAGUUUGCAUGUUGGUAACUAGGGGGAGAAUGUGAAGAAGCACCGCAACGCAGGCAGAGUGAUAGAUUCAGCCCGCAUAUCUGUCAAUAAGCUGCAUGAACUGGACUUAAAGCCCCUGCUCUUCAUGGGGAAAGAGAAGAGAGGGGGGGGGGGGUUACAGCAGAGGUCAUUGCAGGCAUAGGCUUCAUACCAGAGGGGCCUGUGAGGGAGAUCAUUAAAAAAAUGACCACCCUUUAUGAAUACUAUCUUAAAUACCACAAUAGCCUCGUUGCCACAGCUGGUGAAGAAACAAGAGAAGAAACACCAGAAGCAACAUCCCCUGCCUCCACUCAGAAUCAAACCUUCACCCUUAACCUUGUCCCGGUCCCCCACCCACCUCCUAUGACUUCCUCUCUCUCUUUAUCUACUCUUCCUACUCCCUCUCUCUCUACAUCUACU